rnacentral:rRNA from 1 species
AUUGAACGCUGGCGGCAGGCUUAACACAUGCAAGUCGAGCGGGGUGAGGUGCUUCGGUACUGAUCCUAGCGGCGGACGGGUGAGUAAUGCUUAGGAAUCUGCCUAUUAGUGGGGGACAACAUUCCGAAAGGAAUGCUAAUACCGCAUACGCCCUACGGGGGAAAGCAGGGGAUCUUCGGACCUUGCGCUAAUAGAUGAGCCUAAGUAGGAUUAGCUAGUUGGUGGGGUAAAGGCCUACCAAGGCGACGAUCUGUAGCGGGUCUGAGAGGAUGAUCCGCCACACUGGGACUGAGACACGGCCCAGACUCCUACGGGAGGCAGCAGUGGGGAAUAUUGGACAAUGGGGGGAACCCUGAUCCAGCCAUGCCGCGUGUGUGAAGAAGGCCUUUUGGUUGUAAAGCACUUUAAGCGGGGAGGAGGCUCUUGAGGAUAAUACCCUUGAAGAGUGGACGUUACCCGCAGAAUAAGCACCGGCUAACUCUGUGCCAGCAGCCGCCGUAAGAC